rnacentral:lncRNA from 1 species
CAUUACCCACCCACCCACCAAAGCCAUUACCCUCUCUCUUGUUCGUCUCUCACAUCAGAGACCCAAAAUCCCCUCGAAACCCUAGUCCCGCUGGAAUAUACCACUGCCUCAAUGCCGGAGGCAACUAGACCAAUAGCCCCCAAAUUAACAGCCUGAAGCCAGUAGCCCACCCUCAACCUGAAUCCGUCGAUUGCUUAACUUGAAUCACCGUGGAGCUUCUCGAAUUUUCAGUUGAAGAUUCGAGCAGAACUCGAAACCAUCCCAAUCAGGCCCACAUUCAUACCACGGGACCCCCGGACCUCCCCCACCUCUAGAACACCCUGGGUUUUGCUCGAAUCUUACCAGAACCUCUCGAAUCCUAAAUUGAACCAGGGAGCCCUAACGAAGAUUGAACCAGAAUCAAUCCAAAUUGGUAGAAGUUUGGGGUUCAUAAUCUACCUUAAUCAGGUGUUCUCCGGCUAGGGCUUGCACUGACUCGAAUUAUUUGAUUGUUCGUAAUUGGUCAUAAACUACGUAGUCGAUUAAUUAAGUUUGGUCGAUUAUUGGCUUGAAGUUUGUUUGUGCCCUUCGAACUGGUUGGUACCAGUUUGCCUAUGCCUGAUUCAAAAUGUCCUGUUAAUUCUAUUCUGCUGCCUGAAUCCAUUAGCAAUUGAAUUCAUACUAGUUUCAGUUUGAAUUGCAAUUAAUCAAGCAUUUAGUUUGGACUAGUAUUGAAAUGAUGCCCCUGGUUUAUGCAUUUUUAGAUGAAUAAUGGCUUUGUUUAUUCAUUUAGAUUUAGGAAAUUUGAAAGCAUGUGAUUUGUAUCUCAUUAAUGAAUUAAGGUUAACUGGACAGCAUGUGCUGUCAGGGUAUAUUCCUGCUGCCCACAUUUGUUUAGUUUAACAAAAGAGAAAAACACUUUAAUAAUAAAAGGAGCGGAGUUGUCAAGGAAUAUUACUCCUUUUGAACUUUUGAAGGGGAAAAUUCAGAGAAGAACAUGGGUGCAUUCACUUCUUAAUUAGGGAUAAUGUUCCUACGAGCUGGAAAAAGAAAAAGAACAUGAGGGAGUAAUGAAUGAGGCAACUGUCUUUGUGCUUUUUAAGGGUGGGAAUGGGCUAUAAAUAGGAGGAUUAAACACUGAAUAAAGGGGGAUUUUUGAAUAUUAGAAUUUCAGAGCUUAGGGCUAGAUUCUGAAUACAUAAGUUCAGUAUUUUUUAGAGUUAAAAACAAAAAGAAAUUGGUUUCCCUUUACUAUUGAAUAUCAGUAUUUGGAUUGUUGUCAAUGUUUGAUUGAAUUUCAAAGCUUCGGUUUGUUUGUUUCUUAGAGUUUUCCAUAAGCAGAAAUAUAACUUCUCUAGCAUCUGCCUUACUUUUGCUAAGUUGUGAGUGUAUUGUGGGUGUCACUUGAUUUACAGUGUGAUAUUCUUGGGUUUUUUGUUGGUGUUUAGCUCCGGGAGUUACUGUUAUUUGGGGUGUUGCUGAGUUGCUGUUGGUUCUGAUAUAUUUGUCAUAUACUUGGGUUUUGUUGUUUGAACCUUCUGGAACUGCAUCUUGGUUUCCUUAAGUGUCCUGCUUGAUUUCAAAUCCUUCCUGGGUCAUCUGUUGUCACUGGUUCAUUGCUAUUGUUGCUGGAUUUUGUGAUGCUGCUGUUGCUGUGCUAUUGCUUGAUUCAACACUGAUCAUCCUCUCUUAUUUGUUUUCCAAAUACCAGGUACACAUUGCUAUACUGGGACACUUGUUGCUGAAACUUGAAGCAUAAAUGAAAUGAAGUUUUAAAGUUUUGAAUUGGUUUAGUUGCUGUUUGAUAUACUAAGUUGUAUAUGUUAGUUAGUAGUCUUCAUAAGAAACAUUUAAAGUGAUUUUUGUGUCUAACUGAGUUAAGUCUCUAACAGUUUAGAGGGUGAAUUCUCUCUCAUAUGCUAGUUUAAAGAACCCAUGAUGUAGUAGUAACAUUCUAGCAUUUCAGUAUAUUCUUUACAAGCAUGCUGCAAAUAUGUAUAAGGCCUUAGGGUAACUACUUAAUAACUUAAACUCUUUCAAUUAACGAGUCAUGUAUCUACAUUCAUAAGAGCAGGUUUUUAUUAGACAUAAUUUCUAUUGUCGCUUCUUAAAAUGUCAAACCAAUGUAAAAGCAACAGCAGGCCCGACACUAAAUAGGAAUAGCCCAGGUCUAGUUCCGUGCCAUGUUCGAUGGGCCUGGACCCAAAAAUGUUCAGCCCGCGUUCAUGCCCGUUUCUCAGCCCAAGUUAUGUUAAACUUAGCCAUAAUAACUCAAGCAUGUAAUUAAAUUAGGUAGUUCGUCAGUUUCAAGAAUGUAAAUAAAUUAGGUAUUUUCUUCUUUCGUUUUAGAGACAAACGAAAUAGAAAACGUAAUCACUUUAAGAUAUCCUCUAAAAGGAAACGAGGCGUUCCUCGCCAAAAUGAGUUGCAAAUCGCGAGGCCCUCAAUUAAAAGGACAUAAUAAGCGAAUAGACUUCGGAAUGGGCCGCUAAAUGAAUUUCACGGCAUUUUCCCAAAAUAACAACACGUUAGUCUCUUUAGGAUGCGCCUUAAUUAAUCUUACCUUCCUAAACUCGGGUGUGCAUUUAUGCGAUCCAAAUCCAAGUCUUGACGAAGUCGAACUGUUCCGACAAACUCCGUGCACACUGGUUGUGACGUAGUUCGAGGUGCAUUUCCACGACGUCGCAAUUCUUUGAAACAAAAUAACUAAUGAGUCGAGCCUCACCAAAUAAUAUUGCUCAAGCUGCAGGGCCCUCGAUACAUAUUUACAAGAAUUGCUUAGACUCCGGAACGGGUCGUUUAACAAAAUUUCAUGGCCUUGCCCAAAACAACAUUACGCUAGUCACUUAGGUCACGUCUUUAAUAAAAAUUAAUUCCCUAAACACGGGUGUGCAUUUAUGCAACCCAAAUACAAUCUCAGUGAAGUCGAAAAUGUGUCGAUGGCCACGCGUACAUUGGUUAUGACGUGGUCCAAGAUACGUUUUCAUAACGUUGCAAUUAUUUUGUAAAAAUAAAAAACAAUAACAAUAAAUCUUUAAGAAGUCACAAUUUGCACUAAGUAUAUGAUGUUUAAAAUCAGAUAAAAUAAGCCGAGUAGAAUAAUUAAGUGACAGUAUUAGAACCACGGAACUCGGGAAUGCCUAACACCUUCUCCCGGGUUAACAAAAUUCCUUAUCUGG